rnacentral:tRNA from 1 species
UCUAAUAUGGCAGAUAAGUGCAAUGAAUUUAAGCUUCAUGUAUAAAGAAAGGCCUUUUAUUAGAA